rnacentral:rRNA from 1 species
UACGUAGGGGGCAAGCGUUGUCCGGAAUCAUUGGGCGUAAAGCGCGUGUAGGCGGCUGAGUAAGUCCGCUCUGAAAGCCCGGGGCUCAACCCCGGGAGGCGGGUGGAUACUGCUCAGCUCGAGUCCGGAAGAGGAGUGUGGAAUUCCUGGUGUAGCGGUGAAAUGCGCAGAUAUCAGGAGGAACACCGGUGGCGAAGGCGGGUCUCUGGGCCGAUACUGACGCUGAGGAGCGAAAGCGUGGGGAGCGAACAGG